CGAGUUUAAAGGCGCCCGUACCGUAAACCGACACAGGUGGGUGAGGAGAGUAUCCUAAGGCCAGCGAGAGAACUAUUGUUAAGGAACUCGGCAAAAUGACCCCGUAACUUAGGGAGAAGGGGUGCCUGUCUAUGACAGGCCGCAGAGAAUAGGCCCAAGCGACUGUUUACCAAAAACACAGGUUUCUGCUAAGUCGCAAGACGAUGUAUAGGAGCUGACGCCUGCCCGGUGCUGGAAGGUUAAGGGGAUCUGUUAGAGCAAUCGAAGCAGUGAACUUAAGCCCCAGUAAACGGCGGCCGUAACUAUAACGGUCCUAAGGUAGCGAAAUUCCUUGUCGGGUAAGUUCCGACCCGCACGAAAGGCGUAACGAUUUGGGCACUGUCUCAACAAUAGACUCGGUGAAAUUGUAAUCCCGGUGAAGAUGCCGGGUACCUGCGACAGGACGGAAAGACCCCAUGGAGCUUUACUGUAGCUUGACGUUGGGUCUUGGUACUACAUGUACAGGAUAGGUGGGAGACUAUAAAGCAUGGACGCCAGUCUGUGUGGAGUCAUCCUUGGGAUACCACCCUUGUAGUACUGGGAUCCUAACCAUAGGCCUUGAAUCAGGUCUUGGAACACCGUCAGGUGGGCAGUUUGACUGGGGCGGUCGCCUCCUAAAAAGUAACGGAGGCGCUCAAAGGUUUCCUCAGCACGGUCGGAAAUCGUGCGAAGAGUGUAAAGGCAAAAGGAAGCUUGAUUGCAAGACAUACAGGUCGAGCAAGGACGAAAGUCGGACUUAGUGAUCCGGUGGUACCGCAUGGAAGGGCCAUCGCUCAACGGAUAAAAGCUACCCUGGGGAUAACAGGCUUAUCUCCCCCAAGAGUCCACAUCGACGGGGAGGUUUGGCACCUCGAUGUCGGCUCAUCACAUCCUGGGGCUGUAGUAGGUCCCAAGGGUUGGGCUGUUCGCCCAUUAAAGUGGUACGCGAGCUGGGUUCAGAACGUCGUGAGACAGUUCGGUCCCUAUCCGUCGCAGGCGUAGGAAAUUUGAGAAGACCUGUCCUUAGUACGAGAGGACCGGGAUGGACGUACCUCUGGUGUACCAGUUGUUCUGCCAAGGGCAUGGCUGGGUAGCUAUGUACGGAAUGGAUAAGCGCUGAAAGCAUCUAAGCGCGAAGCCAACUUCAAGAUAAGAUUUCCCACCGUAAGGGUAAGACCCCAGGAAGGCUACCUGGUUGAUAGGUCGAAGGUGUAAGUGCAGUAAUGUAUUUAGCUUAUCGAUACUAAUAGGUCGAGGACUUGACUAA
rnacentral:rRNA from 1 species